ACACCUCAACUCACAUGGUUUGCCAUGAUGAGCUUGGACUUUGGGGGUCUUGCUGGCCUGCGGUCAGCUCCUCUCAAAUGGAUCAGCUUGCCAGUGUUCGGUGGCAUCAUGGGUGUGAUAACUAUCUACGCCUGUGGUUUUCUACUGGAUAACCUUCAGUGAUGGAGGUUCGCUGGAGCUCAUAAAUGUCUCUCCUCAGUGAAGACAGCUUUUUGAAC
rnacentral:misc_RNA from 1 species